GAGGGUAUAGCUCAAGUGGUGAGUGCAUGCUUAGCAUGCACGAGGUCCUGGGUUUGAACCCCAGUACCUCCU
rnacentral:tRNA from 1 species